AUUGAACGCUGGCGGCAGGCCUAACACAUGCAAGUCGAGCGGAUGAAGGGAGCUUGCUCCUGGAUUCAGCGGCGGACGGGUGAGUAAUGCCUAGGAAUCUGCCUGGUAGUGGGUGAUAACGUCCUGAAACGGGCGCUAAUACUGCAUACGUCCUGCGGGAGAAAGUGGGGGAUCUUCGGACCUCACGCUAUCAGAUGAGCCUAGGUCGGAUUAGCUAGUUGGUGGGGUAAAGGCCUACCAAGGCGACGAUCCGUAACUGGUCUGAGAGGAUGAUCAGUCACACUGGAACUGAGACACGGUCCAGACUCCUACGGGAGGCAGCAGUGGGGAAUAUUGGACAAUGGGCGAAAGCCUGAUCCAGCCAUGCCGAGUGUGUGAAGAAGGUCUUCGGAUUGUAAAGCACUUUAAGUUGGGAGGAAGGGCAGUAAGUUAAUACCUUGCUGUUUUGACGUUACCAACAGAAUAAGCACCGGCUAACUUCGUG
rnacentral:rRNA from 1 species